ACAUGCAGCCGUUGUGGUGUAAUAAGGAUGGCGAAGGUUCCAAGCGCGCACAUUUUGUUCUUUUCCGCCGCAUUCGUUUUUCUUCUUGCAGUAAUGCAUAAUGAGGGCAAGUCGUGUGCUAACGCAGCCCCCGCACCUCAAGGUCCUCUUCGCGCUGGUCCAAACCGACGUGCUGGUCUAGGAUCUGGUCCACAAAAUCUUCGGCCUAACCGUCAAAGUCUAGUGCCUCCUAUACGACUUGGCGCAGGACCUGGUCCAGUUGGCCGCAUGCCAAAACGGGGACCACUCAACACCAGUGGUUAACGGGACUCCAUGUGAAGAAUUCUCAAGCAGGGCGAAUUCAUGCGAACAUAUUUCAAUAAAACAAGCUAACAUGAAAAUCUU
rnacentral:lncRNA from 1 species